rnacentral:rRNA from 1 species
UAAACCUGGUUGAUCCUGCCAGUAGUCAUAUGCUUGUUUCGAGGAUUAAGCCAUGCAAGUCUCAGAGUAAAUGGAUUAAAGUAGAUCUGCGAACAGCUCAUUAAACCAGCUUUAACCUACGCGAGGAAACUGCUUUUGCAGUCCAUUGGAUAACUUUGGUAACUACAAAGCUAAUACAUGUCAGUAAAACUCGU